GGUGGUGUGGUCCAAUGGCAAGAUGCCACGUUGUGGUGCUCUUCACGACUCCUAGAGUCUGAAUACAUCUACAAUUCCGUGUCGAUCUGGGUUCGAUUCCCAGCACCGCCA
rnacentral:tRNA from 1 species